CAGCCUUAGAGUUCUGACUCCCUGUGGACGCUCUUCUCUUGGACUCCCUGGUUGGAUGGCUUUGGUUGGGACACCAGUGGUAAAGAGAACAUGAGAAACAGAGUCUCCAGGAAGUUAAGUGACUUGCCCAAGACCCGUGGAGCGGUGAUUCAAGCCUGGAUCUGCCUGACCCUUUCUGCCAUAUCACGCUGUUCUGCAAGACACUGGACAGGAUCUCUCAUGACUCUUGAGGACAUGAUGGAUGGUUGUGAGGGCACAGAAGGGGCUCCCAUCUGGCUGAAUGACAACCAUGGAAUGUUCUUAUAAGUGGAACCAGUUGUAUAUCGAGCUGGGGGGAUGUAAAAGGAGGAGAUGGAGGAGAAGGAGAAGAAAGAAGAUGAGGAGACAGAGGCCAGCUCUGAGGAGUGGGCAUCCUACCUGGCAAGAUAGAACAAGACCCUGACCGCUGACCUCGCAGGAGUCUACCCUCCUUCAGAGAGGAGAGAUCAGUGACUGUGGUUCCCUGCAUUGCCUCUGGUUCAGGGAAUAUGGAGCUGUGCAGAGAAUGUGGACUUUAGAAAAUUGUAAAGAAAUGGAUUUCAGCCUGAGCGCCUUUUUGUAUCACCUCAUCUGUUAAGUGGGUUUUGUAAAACCUCUCUUCCAGGCAGUGGUGUGCUGGAGUGGGUUCCUACUGGCUUAUAUAGAACCAAUUAAGGACAUUUCUUCCCAAUUCUGUGUUCAGUGACAUCCCAUUGGGAGCUGGAAGUUGGCCAUGGCGGGAAUAUUUACACCACAGAAAUUAGCAAAUACUACAAAUCAGGGCUCUUUUUUUCUUCCAUAUUGCUAGAUGGUAGAUAACCAGCAUACCACUGCUUACAGAGUUAUGCUUGGGAUGACGAAUGCUGAACCCCUGGCACACGGUCCCCACAUGUGCACACAUGCUUGGCACACAGUAGGUGUCAUAAGUGUGACUACCUUCUCCUUUGACAUUUCUCUUGUUUGAGAAAGACUACUGUUUCCUUUGCUCAGAAUAAUAACUCCCCUUCAGCCAGGGCUUUCUCCAUGUUUCAGACAAGGUGGUUCUGAUGGAAGCUGCCAUUCUUCUUACUCCCCCUGGACCUCACAGAGAGAUGGAGUCAAAGGAUGAGGAUUUUGGAGCCUUAUGAAUCUAGGUUUGGAUCUUGGCUUUGCCUCCUGCUAGCUAUAUAAUAACCCUGAGCAAGUUAUUUAAUUGCUCUGAGCCUCAAUUAAGUCACCUGUGUAAACUGAGGGUGGACAAGCCCCCUUCAUUAAGUUGUUGUGAAGAUGGAAUGAGGUAAUGGGUGUGUGGGUGUGCAAGGACCUGGC